rnacentral:rRNA from 1 species
UACGUAGGGGGCGAGCGUUAUCCGGAAUUACUGGGCGUAAAGCGCACGCAGGCGGUUCGCCAAGUUUGGAGUGACAGUUGUCGGCUCAACCGACAAAGGACUUCAAAAACCGGUGAACUUGAGGACGAGAGAGGAACAUGGAACUCCAGGUGUAGUAGUGAAAUGCGUAGAUAUCUGGAAGAACACCAAUGGCGAAGGCAAUGUUCUGGCUCGUUUCUGACGCUCAGGUGCGAAAGCCAGGGGAGCGAACGGG